rnacentral:rRNA from 1 species
UACGGGGGGAGCAAGCGUUGUUCGGAUUUACUGGGCGUGAAGGGCGCGUAGGCGGCGCAACAAGUCAGUUGUGAAAUCUCUGGGCUUAACCCAGAGCGGUCAACUGAUACUGUCGUGCUAGAGUGCGGAAGGGGAGACUGGAAUUCCUGGUGUAGCGGUGAAAUGCGCAGAUAUCAGGAGGAACACCGGUGGCGAAGGCGGGUCUCUGGGCAGUAACUGACGCUGAGGAGCGAAAGCGUGGGGAGCGAACAGG